rnacentral:miRNA from 1 species
UAUACCAUUUAUAGACCUUUCACUCGGGGUAUUCCACAAAAAAUUACCCUGCGGGAUGAAAUAUUCCUCGGGCUUCGCCCUCGGAAUAUUUCAUCCCUCAGGGUAAUUUUUUGUGGAAUACCCCGAGUGAAAGGUCUAUAACUGAU